UACAGAGGUCCCGAGCGUUGUUCGGAUUUAUUGGGCGUAAAGGGUGCGUAGGCGGCGGAGUAAGUUGGGUGUGAAAUCCCGGGGCUCAACCUCGGAAUUGCAUUCAAUACUGCUUCGCUCGAGUACUGGAGAGGAGGCUGGAAUUUACGGUGUAGCAGUGAAAUGCGUAGAUAUCGUAAGGAAGGCCGGUGACGAAAGCGAGCCUCUGGACAGUUACUGACGCUGAUGCACGAAGGCCAGGGGAGCAAACGGG
rnacentral:rRNA from 1 species